AUGAGUAAUGCAACCUUCUCUAUAUGCUCGUGGAAUGUACAUGGCCUAGGCGACGAUGCCAAAUUCUCUGAUGUUCUCUCUGAACUAAUCUCGAUCAAUCCUCACAUCGCCUUAUUACAAGAGUCAAAACUAGAUACGCUCUCUGACCCAAAGGUAAGAUCCUUCCUGCCUCGGCAGCUUGAUCAAGUCUUCUCCUUACCAGCCGUAGGUACUGCGGGUGGCACCAUUACAGUCGUCAACACUGCCUCUUUCCAAGUGAUCUCCUUCAACCACCUCUCUUUCUCUUCAACCUCGAUCUUGCGAUCAACGACAACAGACCGCAAUGUAGCCAUCACCAAUAUUUACACCCCCUCCUCCCGCACUCUCAAGCAAUCCUUCCUCGAUGAGUUACUAGCUAUCGCCCAACCAGAUGACUCACCCUGGCUACUCGUGGGCGACUUCAACCUCCUCAGUUUCCCCUCUGACAAAAACAAUGAUGUGUUUAGACAGACCAAAGCCAAUGCGUUUAACCAAAUGCUUGAUGACCUUGCCCUCAUCGAACUACCACUUCUAGACCGCCAAUUCACAUGGUCCAACAAUAGAGCCACACCUACCCUAGAACGGAUCUACCGUGCCUUUUUUAACUUGGCAUGGGCUGAGGCCUUCCCCAAUUCUUCCCUCUCACCCCUCACGCGUUUCGCGUCCGACCACGCCCCCCUCCUCAUCCACGUCACCACAACAAUCCCGCGGUCCAACUUUUUUAAAUUUGAACCUGGUUGGGCUAAUUUCCAGCACUGCUGA
rnacentral:rRNA from 1 species